rnacentral:rRNA from 1 species
CCUACGGGUGACAGCAGUGAGGAAUAUUGGUCAAUGGGCUUACGCCUGAACCAGCCAAGUCGCGUGAGGGAAGACUGCCCUAUGGGUUGUAAACCUCUUUUGUCAGGGAGCAACGCCGGCUACGUGUAGCCGCCCUGAGAGUACCUGAAGAAAAAGCAUCGGCUAACUCCGUGCCAGCAGCCGCGGUAAUACGGAGGAUGCGAGCGUUAUCCGGAUUUAUUGGGUUUAAAGGGUGCGUAGGCGGAAUGCCAAGUCAGCGGUAAAAUCGCGGGGCUCAACCUCGCUCCGCCGUUGAAACUGGCGUUCUUGAGUGGGCGAGAAGUAGGCGGAAUGCGUGGUGUAGCGGUGAAAUGCAUAGAUAUCACGCAGAACUCCGAUUGCGAAGGCAGCAUACCGGCGCCCGACUGACGCUGAGGCACGAAAGCGCGGGGAUCGAACAGGAUUAGAUACCCUGGUAGUC